GCAGGAAGGAUGGCGGCUGGAACAUGAGAAUCCGAGAGACCCCCAGACACCCUUGGUCUUUAAAGGAGUCGUCUUUAAUGAGAUGAAGGGAGCGUUUACAGACAAUGAGAGGAUAUUCUCCCAGCACCUUCAGAACAGACUUCUUCCCGACCACACGUACUCAGUGGUCUCCGGGGGCGACCCACUUUGCAUCCUGGAGCUUACAUGGGAGCAGCUUAAGCAGUUUCAUGCCACUCACUAUCACCCAAGCAAUGCUAGGUAAUAUUUUGUUGGAAAAGUUUGAUGGUGGAUUGUGAAAAGUUGACUUGUUUGUGUUCUUACAGCUUCAUGACAUGGCUUCUCUCAUUUAGCAAUGCUUAAGAAAUAUCUAAGUGUAGGUAAGAUUCUUGGCCUAAGUUUGCCUAUCUUAUUGGACAUUGAUUUUGGACAUUUACAAUGAUAGCCUUCAGUAGGCUCAGUAUGGUGGUUACAAACACAGCAUUUAGAGUCCCCCAGAGGAGGGUCCUGGCCCCGCAGCCUCUUGCCUCACAUCCAGCUUGGUUGCGUGGAGAGUGGGGGUACAUGGAUGGUGCCCACCUUGGCACGGGGUGUGAAGCUUCAAGCCCUCUCCUUGGCACGGAGAAGUGCUCUUCCAAUAGUGGAUGCAGUUACUGAACCUUAAUUACAUCCUCACUUUCUGAUACAUUGCUUGUUCUUAUGUCACUAAUAUAAGGUCAUUAUAAUAAUAAUGCAGUUAUAUAUCUUAUAUAAAACACUAAUUGUAUUUACAUGUAAAUGCUAAUGUAAAAAUAUAUUUGCAAGAUUAUUUUAUGUAAAAAUAAUUAUGAAAAUUUGAAGCAUACAGAAAA
rnacentral:sRNA from 1 species